GAUGAAGAACGUAGCGAAAUGCGAUAAGUAGUGUGAAUUGCAGAAUUCAGUGAAUCAUCGAAUCUUUGAACGCACAUUGCGCCCCUUGGUAUUCCAUGGGGCAUGCCUGUUCGAGCGUCAUUUGUACCCUCAAGCUUUGCUUGGUGUUGGGUGUUUGUCCCGCGUUGCGCGUGGACUCGCCUUAAAGCGAUUGGUAGCCGGCAUAUUGGCCUUGGAGCGCAGCACAUUUUGCGCUUCUAGUCAUGAAUGUUGGCGUCCAUUAAGCCUAUACAUUUGCUCUUGACCUCGGAUCAGGUAGGGAUACCCGCUGAACUUAAGCAUAUCAAUAAGCGGAGGA
rnacentral:misc_RNA from 1 species